rnacentral:rRNA from 1 species
AUUGAACGCUGGCGGCAGGCCUAACACAUGCAAGUCGCACGAGUGGCGGACGGGUGAGUCAUGUCUGGGAAACUGCCUGAUGGUGGGGGAUAACUACUGGAAACGGUAGCUAAUACCGCAUACCAUCGGAUGUGCCCAGAUGGGAUUAGCUCGUAGGUGGGGUAAUGGCUCACCUAGGCGACGAUCCCUAGCUGGUCUGAGAGGAUGACCAGCCACACUUGAACUGGAACACGGUCCAGACUCCGACGGGAGGCAGCAGUGGGGAAUAUGGCACAAGGGGCGCAAGCCUGAUGCAGCCAUGCCGCGUGUGUGAAGAAGGCCUUCGGGUUGUAAGGCACUUUCAGCGAGUAGACGUUACUCGCAGAAGAAGCACCGGCUAACUCCGUGCCAGCAGCCGCGGUAAUAC